AAAUUGGUUUAAUUCAAGGUUCCUGGUAAGAUAGAAAAACUCAUUAAGAUUGCUAAUACAGUAGAUUGUUCUAAGCAUUUGAACAGAUAAGAACGAGUUCUCAGGAGCAAUUGACAUUAGUAUUCCAAAAGUAAAUGUUGCUGUUCCUUAAAAGCUAAUUCUAAUGUUUUGGAAGAGAAAGAAAGUGAAGUGUGCAAACAUACUUAAUUUCACGAGACACAGAAUUUUUCUUUUUCAUUUCCUUUAUUCCAGUCCGCAAAAUGCAUCAUAAAAUUCAUUAACCAGAAUGUUAUGGAAUAAAUUGUCAUACAAUGCUCGAAGAAAUUCUACAUGCACUGAAAUUUACAACUUACAAGUAUGU
rnacentral:misc_RNA from 1 species